rnacentral:tRNA from 1 species
GCCAACGUCGCAUAAUCUGGUAUUGCGCCGGCCUUGAGAGCCGGUUUCCUUCGGGAUAUCCCAGUUCAAAUCUGGGCGUUGGCG